rnacentral:rRNA from 1 species
CGAUGAACCACUUCGGUGGGGAUUAGUGGCGAACGGGUGAGUAACACGUGGGCAAUCUGCCCUGCACUCUGGGACAAGCCCUGGAAACGGGGUCUAAUACCGGAUACGAGUUCCACGGGCAUCCGUGGGACUGGAAAGCUCCGGCGGUGCAGGAUGAGCCCGCGGCCUAUCAGCUUGUUGGUGAGGUAAUGGCUCACCAAGGCGACGACGGGUAGCCGGCCUGAGAGGGCGACCGGCCACACUGGGACUGAGACACGGCCCAGACUCCUACGGGAGGCAGCAGUGGGGAAUAUUGCACAAUGGGCGCAAGCCUGAUGCAGCGACGCCGCGUGAGGGAUGACGGCCUUCGGGUUGUAAACCUCUUUCAGCAGGGAAGAAGCGAAAGUGACGGUACCUGCAGAAGAAGCGCCGGCUAACUACGUGCCAGCAGCCGCGGUAAUACGUAGGGCGCAAGCGUUGUCCGGAAUUAUUGGGCGUAAAGAGCUCGUAGGCGGCUUGUCGCGUCGGUUGUGAAAGCCCGGGGCUUAACCCCGGGUCUGCAGUCGAUACGGGCAGGCUAGAGUUCGGUAGGGGAGAUCGGAAUUCCUGGUGUAGCGGUGAAAUGCGCAGAUAUCAGGAGGAACACCGGUGGCGAAGGCGGAUCUCUGGGCCGAUACUGACGCUGAGGAGCGAAAGCGUGGGGAGCGAACAGGAUUAGAUACCCUGGUAGUCCACGCCGUAAACGGUGGGCACUAGGUGUGGGCAACAUUCCACGUUGUCCGUGCCGCAGCUAACGCAUUAAGUGCCCCGCCUGGGGAGUAC